rnacentral:rRNA from 1 species
CAGUCGCCGCGGUAAUACGUAGGUGGCAAGCGUUGUCCGGAAUUAUUGGGCGUAAAGCGCGCGCAGGCGGAUCAGUCAGUCUGUCUUAAAAGUUCGGGGCUUAACCCCGUGAGGGGAUGGAAACUGCUGAUCUAGAGUAUCGGAGAGGAAAGUGGAAUUCCUAGUGUAGCGGUGAAAUGCGUAGAUAUUAGGAAGAACACCAGUGGCGAAGGCGACUUUCUGGACGAAAACUGACGCUGAGGCGCGAAAGCCAGGGGAGCGAACGGGAUUAGAUACCCCGGUAGUCCCUGUCUCUUAUACA